rnacentral:lncRNA from 1 species
CGGCGGUGGUGGUGGACACGGUGGUUCUGGGUCUGGAUAUGGGUCCGGUAGUGGUUCUGGUUAUGGGUCUGGUGGUGGGAAAGGAAGAGGUGGAGGUGGAGGAGGCAGCGGUGGUGGUGGUGGGGGAGGAGGUGGUGAAGGCUCGAGUACAGGAAGUGGGUCAGGUUAUGGAAGUGGAAGUGGAAGUGGCUAUGGUAGCGGAGGUGGCAAGGGCGGUGGUGGUGGGGGAGGCGGAGGAGGUGGUGGUGGCGGUGGUGGUGGAAGCAGCCAUGGUGGUGGUAGUGGCUCUGGUUACGGGGAGGGUUAUGGGUCUGGAUAUGGUGAAGGAGGUGGGAAUGAUUCACCAUGAACAUGAUCACAUUAAUUACAUGAACUAUUCCAUUGUUAGAUAAUUUACCAUCUUUGUCCAUUCGUAACUGAAAUAAAAUGCUCAGCUUCAACAUCACUUUAUGAAUACGUGGUCGUGGACAUGUCACCCUUCGAUAUUAAUCACAUUGUCACUCCUACCAUGCUAUUAAUACAAAAGCUCUAUUUUCUUUUUGAUAAACUUAUUAGACUAGAUUCUACUUAUCUUGAAUGUUUUUGUUGUUUAAGAGUAAAACUACUAUUGCAAAUAUCUUUAAAAUAUUUAUGUGGUAAAUAGUUCUGAUAAAUAAAAUCUUUCUCUUUAAUAGGAUUUUUCUCUUCAACUCCAUUCCGCCCUGAAUGAAAAUAUUGUUUGUCAUACAUUAUGCAUGAAACGUUUGGUUAGGUUUUGAGACCGUUUGAUUGGUAAGUUGGAUUGGUGCCUA